GACAAACGCUGGCGGCGUGCCUAAUACAUGCAAGUCGAACGACGAAAGCCUUCGGGCAAGUAAGAGUGGCGCACGGGCGAGGAACACGUAGAUAAUCUGCCCUUCAGUGGGGAAUAACUCUCCGAAAGGAGUGCUAAUACCGCAUAAGACCACAAGCUCUGCGGAGCAAGGGGUUAAAGGAUUUAUUCGCUGAAGGAUGAGUCUGCGUCCGAUUAGCUAGUUGGUGAGGUAAUGGCUUACCAAGGCAAUGAUCGGUAGAUGGUCUGAGAGGAUGAUCAUCCGCACUGGAACUGAGGCACUGUCCAGACGCCUACGGGAGGCAGCAGUAGGGAAUAUUGCACAAUGGGGGAAACCCUGAUUCAGCAACGCCGCGUGAGUGAUGAAGGCUCUAGGGUCGUAAAGCUCUGUCGUAUGGGAAGAAAAAAAGGACGGUACCAUACAAGAAAGGACCGGCCAACUUCGUGCCAGCAGCCGCCGUAA
rnacentral:rRNA from 1 species